GGCGGACGGGUGAGUAACGCGUGGGUAACCUGCCCUGUACACACGGAUAACAUACCGAAAGGUAUGCUAAUACGAGAUAAUAUGCUUUUAUCGCAUGGUAGAAGUAUCAAAGCUCUGGCGGUACAGGAUGGACCCGCGUCUGAUUAGCUAGUUGGUAAGGUAACGGCUUACCAAGGCGACGAUCAGUAGCCGACCUGAGAGGGUGAUCGGCCACAUUGGAACUGAGACACGGUCCAAACUCCUACGGGAGGCAGCAUG
rnacentral:rRNA from 1 species